UACGUAGGGUGCGAGCGUUAAUCGGAAUUACUGGGCGUAAAGCGUGCGCAGGCGGUUUUGUAAGCCCGAUGUGAAAUCCCCGGGCUUAACCUGGGAAUGGCAUUUGGGACUGCAAGGCUUGAGUGCGGCAGAGGAGACUGGAACUCCUGGUGUAGCAGUGAAAUGCGUAGAUAUCAGGAGGAACACCGAUGGCGAAGGCAGGUCUCUGGGCUGACACUGACGCUCAUGCACGAAAGCGUGGGGAGCAAACAGG
rnacentral:rRNA from 1 species